rnacentral:pre_miRNA from 1 species
CAUCUUACCGGACAGUGCUGGAUUUCUCGGCUCGACUCUAACACUGUCUGGUAACGAUGUU